UUGAAAUCCACGGAGCAAAGAUGACCGUGCUGUAUGUGGACAAUACACCGAACGCAAUUGGCGAAAAGAAAAAUUACAGAAAAUUAAGGCUGUUAAGAAGAAAAAGAAGCAAAAGAAACUACAGAAAUUGCUAGCACAGUAGUGGACAAGAAAUGACUAAUAGCAGUAACGUGAGAAUGAUAAAUAAAACAAUUGAGAAAUCUGUGAAUAUAUUUACUGAAUUAUUAACUUUUUGACCUUGAAAAAA